rnacentral:rRNA from 1 species
AACGAACGCUGGCGGCAUGCCUAACACAUGCAAGUCGAACGAGACCUUCGGGUCUAGUGGCGCACGGGUGCGUAACGCGUGGGAACCUGCCCUUAGGUUCGGAAUAACUCCCCGAAAGGGGUGCUAAUACCGGAUAAUGUCUUCGGACCAAAGAUUUAUCGCCUUUGGAUGGGCCCGCGUUGGAUUAGCUAGUUGGUAGGGUAAAAGCCUGCCAAGGCGACGAUCCAUAGCUGGUCUGAGAGGAUGAUCAGCCACACUGGGACUGAGACACGGCCCAGACUCCUACGGGAGGCAGCAGUGGGGAAUAUUGGACAAUGGGCGAAAGCCCGAUCCAGCAAUGCCGCGUGAGUGAUGAAGGCCUUAGGGUUGUAAAGCUCUUUUACCCGGGAUGAUAAUGACAGUACCGGGAGAAUAAGCUCCGGCUAACUCCGUG